rnacentral:rRNA from 1 species
CCUACGGGAGGCAGCAGUGAGGAAUAUUGGUCAAUGGGCGGGAGCCUGAACCAGCCAAGCCGCGUGAAGGAAGACGGCGCCAUGCGUUGUAAACUUCUUUUGUCGGGGAACAAAGGGCGCCACGCGUGGCGUUGUGAGUGUACCCGAAGAAUAAGCAUCGGCUAACUCCGUGCCAGCAGCCGCGGUAAUACGGAGGAUGCGAGCGUUAUCCGGAUUUAUUGGGUUUAAAGGGUGCGUAGGCGGUCCUGAAAGUCAGCGGUAAAAUCCCGGGGCUCAACCCCGCCGAGCCGUUGAAACUGUCGGGCUAGAGAGGGCGAGAAGUACGCGGAAUGCGUGGUGUAGCGGUGAAAUGCAUAGAUAUCGCGCAGAACUCCGAUUGCGAAGGCAGCGUACCGGCGCCCGACUGACGCUGAGGCACGAAAGCGUGGGUAUCGAACAGGAUUAGAUACCCUUGUAGUC